ensembl:lncRNA
UUUUGACAGUAUUUGUAGUAUAAUAAAUGGAUCAUUGCUUGUUUUUAAGACAAUGCAGACAAUUAACUGUGUUCACGUGAUGUUUUCUCAUGUCACCGGACACUCAGGUGGACACACUGGGGUAUUAAACUCUCAUUUUAGGUCAAGUGGCCAUUACUUACUGCAAAGUGAAAUGUGGGAGGGCACCCAAAUGGGUGUGCACAGCUGCCAAAGGCCUCCGUCAGUUCCUCUUCAAGGCACACUGAAGCUCCCGUGUACUUAUCUGAGUAAUGCAGGCCGCUCAUCUCCCGACAACAUGACAGUAGUCACCAGGAAUGGAGGCCAGGCAUGGCUAUCUUGUUGGUUGGGGGUUUUUUUAAGCCUUUUUUUUUUUGCUUCCCAAAUGUUUUUGAAAUCCCAUCUGUUUUAUUCAUAGUGUAAAGGAAGGAAGAAAAUCAAUAAUUGGUCCCCAGUGAACAGGAGCUUAAUUUUAACUGAGAUCUCGGUGUUUGCAUGCCCGGGGGAAGGGCCGCAGCAGAUGCUGCUUGGGAGCCUGCAGAAUGGAUGUCACUGGGAAGACUGUGCUCUGAGAGCUAUAGCUUCAGACCCUGUGGUGGAUCUAUGCUUGUGUAACGUUGGGAUUUGUAAUGUGUGACCACACGUGAGCGAAGAGCAGUUUGAAAUAUACGGCGAUUGUAAAUGUAUCAUCUACUCCGCCAGACUGACUGAGGGGCUAUGGGAACCUUUUCCUCAAACACUCGGAGGAUUGCACAAGAGAAGAAGUGCUAAACUGGAUCUCUUGUUCCUGCCUUAAUUCCUGUCACUUCUCAGAGCAGCCUACAGUCCUGCUGUGUGUGUGCAGCGCUCCUGGUGCGGCUUCAGAUUUGAAUAUCCUGGGGCUCUUCCGUUCUUGAUCCGGGCUUCAGCUCUGAGCCGGAGGUUGGUGUCGGUGUCCGAAGGACCGGCAGGGAGCACACAGCUGCACAGCGGGAAUUCCAACUUUAAUGACAUCGGAGUAAGUCCCUGCCUUCACAACAGGGCUACAAGACAUGUUCAUGGAUACUCCGAAGAGUUAGAAAUCAAAAGACAGAUUCCUUAAAAGCAAAUGGAAGUCACAGAUGUACAAACAGAGGAAGGAUUUGGGCCAUUUUUGUUACAGUCUGAAGAAAAGUCAAAUAUAAUCUACCAGCACCAAGAUGCUGUGCAGGUUCUCUAUGAUAAAGCAAAGAAGAAUACAAGGAGGGACCGGUGCAGGCAAUUAACAUCAACUGUUAGGACACUGAUUGCAGCUUGCUAAGGAGAGCUGAUAUGGUGAUACGUGCCUGUGUGUGCAGGCAGAGAAACCUCAUGGCAGAGAACAGAAACACCGCACUCACCUCCACAGCUCCCAGCAUUAUUAAAACAAAGAAGCUGCCCAGCUGGGGAGACUGCAUGCAGAAUAUGGUGUGCAAUAACAAACCUUUGUCUGAUCCUCCAGCCAUUUAAAUGUCAGGCUCACAGGGAAGGCAACCAUUGCUGAAUUGGUGUAUGUUUGCUCGACAUCUUAAGGCUCUCUUUGAAACCAAGAGAGAGAACUAACCUUUAAUUUAAUCACAUUACUCUGUAUUGUGGAAGCCUGGUGUGACUUGGAUUAAUUGAAGUUCCGGAGAAGGAGGAAGGUCUCAGUGACUCAAUGAGACAAAACUGACCACUUAUGGCUGAAACAAGAAAGUAGGAAAAUGAGAAGAGACUGACACUAAUAUGGUGGUACUUCAAGUACCAUACUAGAUCCGCUUUACUGAGGAGGCUUAGAAGCUUAUCAGCCAAAAUGAAACAUCUAAUAGCAGGUAGAGAAUGAGGCAGAAAGGAAGGAGAGUUUAGAAAGAAAAUAUUGAAAACAUAAUAAAUCUUUAACCUCGUUUACAAGUCAUACCACCUUGUUGUGCUCUCCAUUUGCUGGUUUUGGAGGUACUUUGCAUCUUUAAGCUUUGUGCUACAUCCUCAGGGUAACUUUUUGAACCAAAGCCAGUAUUUUCAUGCAAUGAAGCCUAAGGCUUGAAAGCAAGAAGAACGAAGGCAAACUAAACAGCAAAGGGAAUUUAAGCUAUGAGUUGUGGUGUGCAAAAAAAGAGCAGAUGAAGAAAAUAAUUAAGAGGAAAGAAAUCAAUCAACAACAGAUUCAGUUACUCCCGCAAAGCAAAAC